AAGAACUCUCAGAUCAGUCUCCAC
rnacentral:siRNA from 1 species